CCUACGGGUGGCAGCAGUGAGGAAUAUUGGUCAAUGGACGCAAGUCUGAACCAGCCAUGCCGCGUGCAGGAAGACGGCUCUAUGAGUUGUAAACCGCUUUUGUACGAGGGCAAAUGCAGAUACGUGUCUCUGUCUGAAAGUAUCGUACGAAUAAGGAUCGGCGAACUCUGUGCCAGCAGCCGCGGUAAUACGGAGGAUUCAAGCGUUAUCCGGACUUAUUGGGUGUAAAGGGUGCGUAGGCGGUCGGAUAAGUUAGAGGUGAAAUCCCGAGGCUCAAACUCGGAAUUGCCUCUGAUACUGUUCGGCUAGAGAGUAGGUGCGGUAGGCGGAAUGUAUGGUGUAGCGGUGAAAUGCUUAGAGAUCAUACAGAACACCGAUUGCGAAGGCAGCUUACCAGGCUACUUCUGACGUUGAGGCACGAAAGCGUGGGGAGCAAACAGGAUUAGAUACCCUUGUAGUC
rnacentral:rRNA from 1 species